rnacentral:rRNA from 1 species
CCAAUAGCGUAUAUUAAAGUUGUUGCAGUUAAAAAGCUCGUAGUUGAAUUUCGGGAUUAAUAUGCUGGUCGUGCCAUUGGUACGUACUAGUAUUAUUGAUUUCUCCCUUCUGAUAAAUCAUGAUGUCAUUAAUUUGAUGUCAUGAGGAAUCAGGACUGUUACUUUGAAAAAAUUAGAGUGUUUAAAGCAGGCUCGCGCUUGAAUACAUUAGCAUGGAAUAAUGAAAUAGGACGUUUGAUUCUAUUUUGUUGGUUUCUAGGAUUGACGUAAUGAUUAAUAGGGAUAGUUGGGGGCAUUAGUAUUCAAUUGUCAGAGGUGAAAUUCUUGGAUUUAUUGAAGACUAACUACUGCGAAAGCAUUUGCCAAGGAUGUUUUCAUUAAUCAAGAACGAAAGUUAGGGGAUCGAAGACGAUCAGAUACCGUCGUAGUCUUAACCAUAAACUAUGCCGACUAGGGAUCGGAUGAUGUUAAUUAUGACUCAUUCGGCGCCUUACG